AUUGAACGCUGGCGGCAGGCCUAACACAUGCAAGUCGAACGAGUGGCGGACGGGUGAGUAAUGUCUGGGAAACUGCCUGAUGGAGGGGGAUCACUACUGGAAACGGUAGCUAAUACCGCAUACCAUCGGAUGUGCCCAGAUGGGAUUAGCUUGUAGGUGGGGUAACGGCUCACCUAGGCGACGAUCCCUUGCUGGUCUGAGAGGAUGACCGGCCACACUGGAACUGAGACACGGUCCAGACGCCUACGGGAGGAAGCAGUGGGGAAUAUUGCACAAUGGGCGAAAGCCUGAUGCAGCCAGGCCGCGUGUAUGAAGAAGGCCUUCGGGUUGUAAAGUACUUUCAGCGGGGAGGCGUUACCCGCAGAAGAAGCACCGGCUAACUCCGUGCCAGCAGCCGCGGUAAUUC
rnacentral:rRNA from 1 species